GACGAACGCUGGCGGCGUGCUUAACACAUGCAAGUCGAACGAUGAAGCUAGAGCUUGCUCUGGUGAAUUAGUGGCGAACGGGUGAGUAACACGUGAGUAACCUGCCCCGAACUCUGGGAUAACUGCUGGAAACGGUAGCUAAUACUGGAUACGACCUACGAAGGCAUCUUCUGUAGGUGGAAAGAAUUUCGGUUCGGGAUGGACUCGCGGCCUAUCAGCUUGUUGGUGAGGUAAUGGCUCACCAAGGCGACGACGGGUAGCCGGCCUGAGGGGGUGACCGGCCACACUGGGACUGAGACACGGUCCAGACUCCUACGGGAGGCAGCAGUGGGGAAUAUUGCACAAUGGGCGCAAGCCUGAUGCAGCAACGCCGCGUGAGGGAUGACGGCCUUCGGGUUGUAAACCUCUUUUAGUAGGGAAGAAGCGAAAGUGACGGUACCUGCAGAAAAAGCACCGGCUAACUACGUGCCAGCCGCCGCAGUAA
rnacentral:rRNA from 1 species